rnacentral:rRNA from 2 species
UCGGAUCAGGUAGGGAUACCCGCUGAACUUAAGCAUAUCAAUAAGCGGAGGA